rnacentral:rRNA from 1 species
GACGAACGCUGGCGGCGUGCUUAACACAUGCAAGUCGAACGGAAAGGCCCUGCUUUUGUGGGGUGCUCGAGUGGCGAACGGGUGAGUAACACGUGAGUAACCUGCCCUUGACUUUGGGAUAACUUCAGGAAACUGGGGCUAAUACCGGAUAGGAGCUCCUGCUGCAUGGUGGGGGUUGGAAAGUUUCGGCGGUUGGGGAUGGACUCGCGGCUUAUCAGCUUGUUGGUGGGGUAGUGGCUUACCAAGGCUUUGACGGGUAGCCGGCCUGAGAGGGUGACCGGCAACAUGGGGACUGAGAGAGGGCCGGGAGGGAUACGGGGGGCAGAAGUGGGGGAGCGGGAACACUGGGGGGAAGUCGGAUGCAGCAACGCCGCGUGAGGGAGGAAGGCAGUCGGGGUGGAAAAAGCGUUCGCCUGUGAAGAAGCGGGAGUGACGGUAAUGGGUAAAGAAGCAACGGCUAACUACGUG